CACGUAGGGGGCAAGCGUUGUCCGGAUUUAUUGGGCGUAAAGAGCUCGUAGGUGGUUCGGUAAGUCGGGUGUUAAACCCCCAGGCUCAACCUGGGGACGCCACUCGAUACUGCUGUGACUUGGAGUCCGGUAGGGGAGCGUGGAAUUCCUGGUGUAGCGGUGAAAUGCGCAGAUAUCAGGAGGAACACCGGUGGCGAAGGCGGGUCUCUGGGCCGAAAUUGACGCUGAGGAGCGAAAGCGUGGGGAGCAAACAGG
rnacentral:rRNA from 1 species